CGGUUAAGUUAGAAAGGGCGCACGGUGGAUGCCUUGGCACUAGGAGCCGAUGAAGGACGGGACGAACACCGAUAUGCUUCGGGGAGCUGUAAGCAAGCUUUGAUCCGGAGAUUUCCGAAUGGGGAAACCCACUGCUCGUAAUGGAGUAGUAUCCAUACUUGAAUACAUAGAGUAUGAGAAGGCAUACCCGGGGAACUGAAACAUCUAAGUACCCGGAGGAAGAGAAAGCAAAUGCGAUUCCCUGAGUAGCGGCGAGCGAAACGGGAACAGCCCAAACCAAGAGGCUUGCCUCUUGGGGUUGUAGGACACUCUAUACGGAGUUACAAAGGAACGAUAUAAGCGAAGAGGUCUGGAAAGGCCCGCCAAAGAAGGUAACAGCCCUGUAACUGAAAUGUUGUUCUCUCCAGAGUGGAUCCUGAGUACGGCGGAACACGUGAAAUUCCGUCGGAAUCCGGGAGGACCAUCUCCCAAGGCUAAAUACUCCCUAGUGACCGAUAGUGAACCAGUACCGUGAGGGAAAGGUGAAAAGCACCCCGGAAGGGGAGUGAAAUAGAUCCUGAAACCGUGUGCCUACAAGUAGUCAGAGCCCGUUAAYGGGUGAUGGCGUGCCUUUUGUAGAAUGAACCGGCGAGUUACGAUCCCGUGCAAGGUUAAGCAGAAGAUGCGGAGCCGCAGCGAAAGCGAGUCUGAAUAGGGCGCAUGAGUACGUGGUCGUAGACCCGAAACCAGGUGAUCUACCCAUGUCCAGGGUGAAGUUCAGGUAACACUGAAUGGAGGCCCGAACCCACGCACGUUGAAAAGUGCGGGGAUGAGGUGUGGGUAGGGAGUCAAACUCCGAAUGCCGAUGACUUAUCCUUGGGAGUCAGACUGCGAGUGAUAAGAUCCGUAGUCGAAAGGGAAACAGCCCAGACCGCCAGCUAAGGUCCCAAAGUAUACGUUAAGUGGAAAAGGAUGUGGAGUUGCUUAGACAACCAGGAUGUUGGCUUAGAAGCAGCCACCAUUUAAAGAGUGCGUAAUAGCUCACUGGUCGAGUGACUCUGCGCCGAAAAUGUACCGGGGCUAAACGUAUCACCGAAGCUGCGGACUGUUCUWACGAACAGUGGUAGGAGAGCGUUCUAAGKGCWGUGAAGYCAGACCGGAAGGACUGGUGGAGCGCUUAGAAGUGAGAAUGCCGGUAUGAGUAGCGAAAGACGGGUGAGAAUCCCGUCCACCGAAUGCCUAAGGUUUCCUGAGGAAGGCUCGUCCGCUCAGGGUUAGUCGGGACCUAAGCCGAGGCCGAAAGGCGUAGGCGAUGGACAACAGGUUGAUAUUCCUGUACCACCUCCUCACCAUUUGAGCAAUGGGGGGACGCAGGAGGAUAGGGUAAGCGCGGUAUUGGAUAUCCGCGUCCAAGCAGUUAGGCUGGGAAAUAGGCAAAUCCGUUUCCCGUAAAGGCUGAGCUGUGAUGGCGAGCGAAAUUUAGUAGCGAAGUUCCUGAUUCCACACUGCCAAGAAAAGCCUCUAGCGAGGUGAGAGGUGCCCGUACCGCAAACCGACACAGG
rnacentral:rRNA from 1 species